GAUGAACGCUGGCGGCGUGCCUAAUACAUGCAAGUCGAGCGAACGGACGAGAAGCUUGCUUCUCUGAUGUUAGCGGCGGACGGGUGAGUAACACGUGGAUAACCUACCUAUAAGACUGGGAUAACUUCGGGAAACCGUAGCUAAUACCGGAUAAUAUUUUGAACCGCAUGGUUCAAAAGUGAAAGACGGUCUUGCUGUCACUUAUAGAUGGAUCCGCGCUGCAUUAGCUAGUUGGUAAGGUAACGGCUUACCAAGGCAACGAUGCAUAGCCGACCUGAGAGGGGGAUCGGCCACACUGGAACUGAGACACGGUCCAGAGUCCUACGGGAGGCAGCAGUAGGGAAUCUUCCGCAAUGGGCGAAAGCCUGACGGAGCAACGCCGCGUGAGUGAUGAAGGUCUUCGGAUCGUAAAACUCUGUUAUUAGGGAAGAACAUAUGUGUAAGUAACUGUGCACAUCUUGACGGUACCUAAUCAGAAAGCCACGGCUAACUACGUG
rnacentral:rRNA from 1 species